rnacentral:rRNA from 1 species
GAAUCUUGCGCAAUGGGCGAAAGCCUGACGCAGCGACGCCGCGUGCGGGAAGAAGGCCUUCGGGUUGUAAACCGCUUUCAGGAGGGACGAAGCCACUCGGGUUAAUAGCCCAGAGGGUGACGGUACCUCCAGAAUAAGCCCCGGCAAACUUCGUGCCAGCAGCCGCGGUAAUACGAAGGGGGCUAGCGUUGUUCGGAUUUACUGGGCGUAAAGCGCACGUAGGCGGGUCGUUAAGUCAGGGGUGAAAUCCCGGAGCUCAACUCCGGAACUGCCUUUGAUACUGGCGACCUUGAGGCUGGAAGAGGUUAGUGGAAUUCCCAGUGUAGAGGUGAAAUUCGUAGAUAUUGGGAAGAACACCAGUGGCGAAGGCGGCUAACUGGUCCAGAUCUGACGCUGAGGUGCGAAAGCGUGGGGAGCAAAC